rnacentral:lncRNA from 1 species
UGUUUUCCCACUUUUCUUUGCAUUUUUUGGCACUUCUUUGAUAACCAAAGGAAGACAUCAAAGAGCUCACUUGUUCCCAAACAGGUCCUUUUAAUCCAGGUUCUCGAAACUUUGAUUCUAAGUCACAUCUCACUUGAAUCAAGGCCUCAACUUCAGCUAUAGGCCACCUGAUACUGUUAUCAACUUUCACUCCAUUGAAGGGUUCCAUUGCAUUUCCAGGUUGCUGUAAUGGAGUCUUUCCAGGAAGAUUGAUGCUUUCACCUGUAAUUUUCUCCAAAUAGGAAACUAUAAGAGCUUCUCUACUUGAAGCUAAAGCUUG